GGUAGUCCACGCCGUAAACGAUGGGCACUAGGUGUGGGAGGUGUCGACUCCUCCCGUGCCGGAGCUAACGCAUUAAGUGCCCCGCCUGGGGAGUACGGCCGCAAGGCUAAAACUCAAAGGAAUUGACGGGGACCCGCACAAGCAGCGGAGCAUGUGGUUUAAUUCGACGCAACGCGAAGAACCUUACCUGGGUUUGACAUGUUCCUGACCGCCGUGGAAACACGGUUUCCCCUUGUGGGCAGGAUCACAGGUGGUGCAUGGCUGUCGUCAGCUCGUGUCGUGAGAUGUUGGGUUAAG
rnacentral:rRNA from 1 species